GUCUAUGGCCAUACCACCUGGAAUGGGUCCGAUCUCAUCUAAUCUCAGAAACUAAGCAAGGUUGGGCCUGGUUAGUACUUGGAUGGGAGGAAGAUGGGAGAGAGAGAGA
ensembl:rRNA 5S_rRNA 5S ribosomal RNA